UACGUAGGGUGCAAGCGUUAUCCGGAAUUAUUGGGCGUAAAGAGCUCGUAGGCGGUUUGUCGCGUCUGCUGUGAAAACCCGAGGCUCAACCUCGGGCCUGCAGUGGGUACGGGCAGACUAGAGUGCGGUAGGGGAGAUUGGAAUUCCUGGUGUAGCGGUGGAAUGCGCAGAUAUCAGGAGGAACACCUAUGGCGAAGGCAGAUCUCUGGGCCGUAACUGACGCUGAGGAGCGAAAGCGUGGGGAGCGAACAGG
rnacentral:rRNA from 1 species